rnacentral:pre_miRNA from 1 species
CAACCUCCACAGGCAGGAGGGCACCCAGGCCCAGCUGGGUGAACAUCUCUUUGAGAGGCUCACCCUCAAGCAUGAGGACUAGGAGC